rnacentral:rRNA from 1 species
UACGGGGGGGGCAAGCGUUGUUCGGAAUUAUUGGGCGUAAAGAGCUCGUAGGCGGCUUGUUGCGUCGACUGUGAAAACCCGCGGCUUAACUGCGGGCUUGCAGUUGAUACGGGCAGGCUAGAGUUCGGUAGGGGAGACUGGAAUUCCUGGUGUAGCGGUGAAAUGCGCAGAUAUCAGGAGGAACACCGGUGGCGAAGGCGGGUCUCUGGGCCGAUACUGACGCUGAGGAGCGAAAGCGUGGGGAGCGAACAGG